AAUGGAUCUAUGAUGUUUCAAAUAAACUGCGUUAUCUUCCUGAACUUUGGUUAUGAAGAUGAAUAGUUCUACUGAGGUCUAAA